UACAGAGGGGGCAAGCGUUGUUCGGAAUUACUGGGCGUAAAGGGCGCGUAGGCGGCCUUCUAAGUCGAACGUGAAAUCCCCGGGCUCAACCCGGGAACUGCGUCCGAUACUGGAAGGCUUGAAUCCGGGAGAGGGAUGUGGAAUUCCAGGUGUAGCGGUGAAAUGCGUAGAUAUCUGGAGGAACACCGGUGGCGAAGGCGACAUCCUGGACCGGUAUUGACGCUGAGGAGCGAAAGCCAGGGGAGCAAACGGG
rnacentral:rRNA from 1 species